AUGGCUCCUUUGUGGAGUUCUUGUGGCAAGCCUGGACAUCAGUGAGCACCCAUCUUGACUGAAGGCCUCAGAGUUGACCAAAAAGAAAGGAAGGAUAACAUGUCCCAGCUUCCUGCCUCAGCACAGAACUACAGCUCUGUUCUCCCCAGUUCACCAGCCCCAAGUAGGUGACAACUUCAGCCACACCAAGAGCCUUCAGGAGAAGCUACAAGAAGGGUGAGCUGAGCUCCCCCCAAGAAGCACCAAGCUGGGGUCAUCUUGCUCCUUUUAGAAGGGAGGAAUAACAAGUUACUCUGCGAACAAGAGGAAAGAUUACAGUUUACAGAGGAAAGCGAAGAUCACUUGGAGCAUGAAAUUGUAUUUGUGUGCAAGUGGAUAUGACUUUUUUUUUCUUUUCUAGAAGAUCCUACAGAAUGGUUUUGCAGAAUAAAACUAAUUAUACAUUUACUACAGUGCCAACUCCGCCUCCUGGAAAUCAAUAAAGCCGCUACAUACAAAAGGAAUGGGGACUCUUCAGCAAACAUUUUCUGUAGGUUAGCUGCACAGUAAAGCAAGCAAACACAACCUGAAUGCUUACAAAUUCCAGACAGUUUGUCUAAACGCAGACAUAAUGAAAACAUCUCUUUCUGCACCUCGGUUUCGGUCCAUGCAGAUGACUGGCUGGGAGGAUUCUAUAAAUAGCAGAGCUCCACAUGAGUUACCAUAUGAAGCUGUUCCAAGGGAUUCAUUCUCACAGUACUACCUGCAGUCAGGGUGGGGCUGCAGGCCCUGGGUGUAAGAGGUAAAAGGCCAUUAACCUAAAAAAGAAUGCAUAGUUAAUUGAGAUUAAGUAUUUUUGCUUCAAGUUUCCUCCCACGGACAAGGUACUUCCAAGAAUGUCACCCUCAACAAGACAAUCCACAGCCACCGUAAGGUCCUAAAAUAAAGAUACUAUCACAGAGCUUCACAAAGCAGAUGCUGAAAGCAAUGACUUAGCUAUAUCUCAUAAGCUAAACUGAAGAUAGAUGGAUGCAACUGCAAUACGAAUGAUAAUACCUAAACAGAAAACAACCAAGAGAAAUUCCAGAACAUCAGAAACUGGCAACAGAGAUUAAGGAAGUACUAUUAACAAGCAAAAAAAAAAUGAAGUCUACAAGUGCUAAGACAUUAAUUUUUGUCUCAACUAAAUUUGAAUUUACAGCAUUUGUUUGCCAGCCUGAGCCUUUCAUGGAGUUCCCACUGAAUACAGCAGUUAACUGCUUUCUGUUAGGCAACGUUACAGACCAAACCAGUUUAGCAGUUUGGAAGGUCUGUAGUGGAGCAAUUCUUACAGCUGUUUCUUCAAAACCUUGGAGCAAUCACUGCUCUCUGAAAUUCAAAUAGAAGGAAUUUAUUCAGGCAAGAUAAAUAUUGGUCUUCACCAAUACUGCGAUGUUAUACCAUGUCUGAAUUACAAUUUCACCAACCGCGUUCAUAAGGCGCUGCGAUUAAUGUUCAGCACAGAGCAAACUCUGUAUCUGGGUUUAAUUACAAUGAUGAAUAAGCCAGACACAGGCUUCGUCCCAGAGCAGUCAUGCAUUAUACUGUCCCGUAGAUACUGAAAUAAUGGAAUCUGAUGCACUUUGAUCUCUUAGAUACGUCUCCCGCAGCUGUAAAAGAGGGCGAGAGCAGCCAGCCUCAUCCAAUUCUGCAACAUGCGCACGCUGACUCAGAAGAGAUUUGUCUCCCAAACUACUUAUGGGAAUAAAUAAAGCCAGAUAAAUAUUGCUCUGUUUCCUUAGGGCUAAAGUCUGUAUACAAAUCAUCGG